rnacentral:lncRNA from 1 species
GAGGAUCUGACAUUUGUAUUCCUUCACCGCAGGAACACCCUGGCACAGCAGCUGCUCUCCUCACAUAGAUGCUUCCUAUGGGGACAAAGACUCUCCCACCAUU